UCACAUGAUAGGAACAAGACACAUUUGC
rnacentral:sRNA from 1 species